rnacentral:rRNA from 1 species
GACGAACGCUGGCGGCGUGCCUAACACAUGCAAGUCGAGCGGAGUCGAUCGACGGAAGCCUUCGGGCGGAAGAUGGUUGACUUAGCGGCGGAUGGGUGAGUAACGCGUGGGCAACCUGCCUCGAAGACCGGGAUAACAGCCCGAAAGGGCUGCUAAUACCGGAUGUGGUCAAAGAUCCGCAUGGAUUUUUGAUUAAAGGGGAAACCCGUUUCGAGAUGGGCCCGCGUCCUAUCAGCUAGUUGGUGAGGUAAAAGCUCACCAAGGCGACGACGGGUAGCCGGCCUGAGAGGGUGACCGGCCACACUGGAACUGAGACACGGUCCAGACUCCUACGGGGGGGCAGCAGUGGGGAAUCUUCCACAAUGGGCGAAAGCCUGAUGGAGCGACGCCGCGUGAGCGAAGAAGGCCUUCGGGUUGUUAAGCUCUGUCUGGAGGGACGGAAGGAAGUGACGGGUACCUCCGGAGGAAGCCACGGCUAACUACGUGCCAGCAGCCGCGGUAAGGAGGUAGUACA